GGCGAACGCUGGCGGUAUGCUCAACACAUGCAAGUCGAACGAGACGAAGAUGAAGUGCUUGCACGGAUUCUUUAGAAAGUGGCGAACGGGUGAGUAACGCGUGGGUAACUUGCCCUAUGGAAAGGAAUAGCUUCGGGAAACUGGGAGUAAUGCCUUAUAAUAUAUCGAAGUCGCAUGGCUUUGAUAUUAAACGCUACGGUGCGAUAUGAUGGACCCGCGUCCCAGUAGCUAGUUGGUGGGAGAAAAGCCCACCAAGGCGACGAUGGGUAACCGGUCUGAGAGGGCGAACGGUCACACUGGAACUGAGACACGGUCCAGACUCCUACGGGAGGCAGCAGUGGGGAAUAUUGCGCAAUGGGGGCAACCCUGACGCAGCAAUACCGCGUGAGUGAAGAAGGUUUUCGGAUCGUAAAGCUCUGUUAUUGGGGAAGAAAAAAAGACGGUACCCAAGAAGAAAGUCCCGGCUAACUACGUGCCAGCCGCCGCAGUAA
rnacentral:rRNA from 1 species